rnacentral:rRNA from 1 species
UACGGAGGGUGCAAACGUUGCUCGGAAUUAUUGGGCGUAAAGCGUACGUAGGUGGCCAACUAAGUCAGACGUGAAAUCCCUCGGCUUAACCGGGGAACUGCGUCUGAUACUGGUUGGCUUGAGUUUGGGAGAGGGACGCGGAAUUCCAGGUGUAGCGGUGAAAUGCGUAGAUAUCAGGAGGAACACCGGUGGCGAAGGCGGGUCUCUGGGCCGAUACUGACGCUGAGGAGCGAAAGCGUGGGGAGCAAACAGG